UGCACACAUGACUGUAAAUCGCUUUGGAUAAAAGCGUCUGCUAAGUGGCAUAUU
rfam:Salmo salar isolate Sally breed double haploid chromosome ssa23, whole genome shotgun sequence.